CUACGGGAGGCAGCAGUGAGGAAUAUUGGUCAAUGGGCGCAAGCCUGAACCAGCCAAGUCGCGUGAGGGAAGACGGUCCUAUGGAUUGUAAACCUCUUUUGUCAGGGAGCAAGUGCCGGACGAGUCCGGACAUUGAGAGUACCAGAAGAAAAAGCAUCGGCUAACUCCGUGCCAGCAGCCGC
rnacentral:rRNA from 1 species